AUCCAGCUGACGAGUCCCAAGUAGGACGAAACACGCGUCCUGUAU
rnacentral:hammerhead_ribozyme from 1 species